rnacentral:tRNA from 1 species
AGGGUUGUAGUUAAAUUACUAACAUUUGAUUUGCAUUCAAAAAAUAUUAAAUUCAUUAAUCUACCUUG